CAGGAAAUAUUUCUGUGUCCCUCCCUCUCAUAGCUUCUCUUUCAUAGUAGUUUACACUUGGCACGCGCACAGAAAGCUGGCUGUCAGACGGCGCAUCCUGUUACCAUGUUCAGCUGGAUCCGGUCCAUAUCCAGAUCAGAUGGUGGACCCUGCACCUAGGCACUACCACAAUGCAGCCCUGAAUGUCAGCAGAGACCGUGUCUACUAGACAACCUCCUGUGAAGGCCUCUUCAACAUGACAGCCAUCGGCACAGAUCCUCAGCAAAGACCACAAGAACCACAGAGGACCCAUUGCCGGCUUCGGCUGCAUAACGGCAUGAUGAAUCCAAUCUUCAAUCAAAAGGAACUGGAUGAAUAUUUGAUGACUUGUGAUGCAGCCUGAAUCAUAAUCACACCAUGUUCGCUCAUUGGCCAAAGGAGAACUGCCCCCCCCCACCCCCCACCCCCCCACACACAACUGCUUAUAGAUUAAAUUAACUAAUUUAAUAAAUGAUGAUCUUUACAACAGAAUUCAAUCAACACUGAACUGACUUGCUGAAAUGCAUAAUGUUCCUGUUAUCACUGUAAAACUGCUUUGAAACAAUGUCUAUUGUAUAAGGCGUUAUAUACAUAAAGGUGACUAAACUAGUAUAUGCAUGUAAAAGAUGAUUGAAACUAGUAUGCAUAUGAUUGCAAAGAAAAGAUGAAUGAAAAUCGUUUAAACUAGUAAUAAAGUGUAAAUUAAUAAUGUGGCUGGAGCAGCUAUGAUGCACAUCAAAAAUAAAAACAAAACAGACGAAACAGAACAAAUGAAGGUUAUCCUCUCAUAUAAUUUAACUCCAUUCAUUCAAAAACUUUCAUUGUUUCUGUGCCAGAAAAACAUGCAUAGCUAUCAUUGCAAUCAUAGUAGCUUCAGGGUGGAUAGAUACUGUUUGUUAGUAGUUUGAAGAGUAUGUAACUCCUUUUUUUUCUCUUUUUUUUUUUUUAAACAACAAGGGUAGCUUGACUACUUUAAGCUACGAGUAAUUUAAGCAAAUUACACUUUCAAACUAGCUUCCCCAACCCUGCUGUGAAAUGUGUUCCAGAACAGCACUCUAGUCUAAACUACAGACUGCCGAGUAUGACAAAUCAUGACAGCUCUUAAACUAAAGAGCGAAAAACGAAGAAAUCCACAUCGGCUCAAUUUCUAUGACCAUAUUUGGUCCCUGUUUCUGUUUGUCGGAGCCUGGAAUAUUUACCCUCGCUCUACACAAUACAAACGUUUGCUAGGCUGUGUAGAAUGUUGUUUAUCUGUUUUCUGACACAACUCUGUAGUGCAUUUCCUGCGACUCUGAGUCCAGCAAACUUGAGUUUCGAUGCGUAAUAACAGUAGACAGUCCAUGUGGAGACGCACUGGAAACCUGUAAGGCUGCAGGCCAACAAUCUAUUCAUUAUUCACUUGAUUGUUUUUUUAUAUUGUGCAAGGAUUACAUGGCUCAUCCACACAUUAAAAAGUUUCAUUUCAAGCCACACAUGUUCUCUGGUGUUACCGCAUAAAACACUGUUUAAUUGUGCAUGUGUUUGUGUAUGAGUGCAAUAUAAAAUGCCACAACAAACAGCCAUGCCAUUCAUCUGAAUAACUCCACUUCCUAAUUGUUACUUUUGCUUUUAGUCACAUUCUCAGAACAACCUUUCAAAAUGAGUCACAUAAUGAAAUUAGCAAUAACAAUCGCAAAGGAAUCGAGAAACAACAUGACGUUAACAACACAAAACAAUGACACUAGGAAGAGAUGUCUCAGUGAUGUUCUGCUGUGAUUCAGAGGUGGCCUUUGCAAUUCAGAGGCCCGUUUCAAAGAAACAGUUAAAGGCCCCCGCCACCCAAUGAGAAAAAUGUCAGACAAAAACAUUGUAUGCAAUGCAACUGCAAUUACUUUAUUAUCUCUGUUAUAUUUAAAGGGGUCCUUGAUUAUGAUUUCACUUUAACUUUAGUUAGUGUGUAGUGUUGCUGUUUGAGCAUAAAUAACAUCUGCAAAGUUACAAUGCUCAAAGUUCAUUGG